CGUAGGAGGCGAGCGUUAUCCGGAUUCACUGGGCGUAAAGCGUGUGCAGGUGGCGCGGUAAGUUGGGUGUGAAAUCUCCCGGCUCAACUAGGAGAGGUCAUUCAAUACUACCGUGCUUGAGAGCGGAAGAGGAAGAUGGAAUUCCCGGUGUAGUGGUGAAAUGCGUAGAUAUCGGGAGGAACACCAGUGGCGAAGGCGAUCUUCUGGUCUGUUUCUGACACUCAGACGCGACAGCUAGGGUAGUAAACGGGAUUAGAGACCCCGGUAAUCCUAGCCGUAAACGAUGUGAACUUGGCGUUGGUGGGUUAAACUCCAUCAGUGCCGUAGCAAACGCGAUAAGUUCACCGCCUGGGGACUACGGCCGCAAGAUUA
rnacentral:rRNA from 1 species